UACGGAGGGUGCAAGCGUUAUCCGGAUUCACUGGGUUUAAAGGGUGCGUAGGCGGAUAUGUAAGUCCGUGGUGAAAUCUCUGGGCUUAACCCGGAAACUGCCAUGGAUACUAUGUGUCUUGAAUGUUGUUGAGGUGAGCGGAAUAUGUCAUGUAGCGGUGAAAUGCUUAGAUAUGACAUAGAACACCAAUUGCGAAGGCAGCUCACUACGGGAUUAUUGACACUGAGGCACGAAAGCGUGGGGAUCAAACAGG
rnacentral:rRNA from 1 species